UGGCUUCCGGAGCUAACGCGUUAAGUAGACCGCCUGGGGAGUACGGCCGCAAGGUUAAAACUCAAAUGAAUUGACGGGGGCCCGCACAAGCGGUGGAGCAUGUGGUUUAAUUCGAUGCAACGCGAAGAACCUUACCUGGUCUUGACAUCCACAGAACUUUCCAGAGAUGGACUGGUGCCUUCGGGAACUGUGAGACAGGUGCUGCAUGGCUGUCGUCAGCUCGUGUUGUGAAAUGUUGGGUUAAGUCCCGCAACGAGCGCAACCCUUAUCCUUUGUUGCCAGCGGUCCGGCCGGGAACUCAAAGGAGACUGCCAGUGAUAAACUGGAGGAAGGUGGGGAUGACGUCAAGUCAUCAUGGCCCUUACGACCAGGGCUACACACGUGCUACAAUGGCGCAUACAAAGAGAAGCGACCUCGCGAGAGCAAGCGGACCUCAUAAAGUGCGUCGUAGUCCGGAUUGGAGUCUGCAACUCGACUCCAUGAAGUCGGAAUCGCUAGUAAUCGUGGAUCAGAAUGCCACGGUGAAUACGUUCCCGGGCCUUGUACACACCGCCCGUCACACCAUGGGAGUGGGUUGCAAAAGAAGUAGGUAGCUUAACCUUCGGGAGGGCGCUUACCACUUUGUGAUUCAUGACUGGGGUGAAGUCGUAACAAGGUAACCGUAGGGGAACCUGCGGUUGGAUCACCUCCUUACCUUAAAGAAGC
rnacentral:rRNA from 1 species